rnacentral:lncRNA from 1 species
AUGACUACCUGAAGGGGUUCUUGGAAGACCUGGCACCUCCAGAGCGCAGCAGCCUAAUUCAGGAUUGGGAAACAUCUGGGCUUGUUUACCUGGACUAUAUUAGAGUCAUUGAAAUGCUCCGCCAUAUACAGCAGGUGGAUUGCUCAGGUAAUGACCUGGAGCAGUUACACAUCAAAGUGACUUCACUGUGCAGUCGGAUAGAGCAGAUUCAGUGUUACAGUGCUAAAGAUCGCCUGGCUCAGUCAGGUACUGUCCACACCAUCCUUGCCAGCUGGGCCUAAUUUUGCCCUAGGUCUGGCCAGGAGGCCUCACAUCCAGAGACCUGCCCCCGCUCUUGCAGUGCCAGGGCCAUGGGGCUCCGGAGCCACCACCUCAGCCUGGGCCUUCUGCUUCUGUUUCUACUCCCUGCAGGUAUGAAGCUCAGUACACCAGCCCUGGCCUCUCCUGGUGGUGCUACUAUUCCUGUUCUCCCAAAAUCCCUUUCCAUGUAGUCUCUCUUGUGUUUCUCCUCAGUACCUGUUCUGAGAACAAGCUCUCUAUUUGGGGAGUGUGGAGGAGAGGGGUGCUGAAGUGCGUGAGA